GGUUGAUCCUGCCAGUAGUCAUAUGCUUGUUUCAAAGAUUAAGCCAUGCAAGUCUAAGUAUAAGCUAAUUUAUACGGCAAAACUGCGAAUAGCUCAUUACAACAGUUAUAAUUUACACGACGAUCAACUACCAAAUGGAUAUCCAUGGUAAUUCUGGAGCUAAUACAUGCUAAAACACCUGACUCUCGUGGAAAGGUGGCAUUCAUUAGUUACUCAGAACCAAUCGCGGGGCAACUCGUGUACUUGGUGAUCAUAAUGACGGAGCGGAUCGCAUCAAAUGCGACAGUUCGUU
rnacentral:rRNA from 1 species